rnacentral:rRNA from 1 species
AGUCGUUCUGCCCAUUGAAAUUAAAAGGCUGCAGUAUAUUAACUGUACAAAGGUAGCAUAAUAAAUAGUUUUUUAAUUGAAAACUUGAAUGAAUGAAUUGAUAAAAUAUAAUUUGUCUCUAGAAUUUAAAUUAAAUUAAAAGUAAAAAUGCUUUUAUUUAUUUAUUAGACGAUAAGACCCUAAGAAUUUUAAUUUAUUUUAUAAUUUUUCAUUUUAAUGUAAUAAAAUAAUUUUUAUUGGGAGGAUAAUUAAAUUAAACUUUAAUUAUAAUAAAUAAUUUAGUUAAAUUUAAUGAUUAUUAUUAUAAUUAUAAGAAAUAAUUACCUUAGGGAUAACAGCGUAAUAAUUUUGGAAAGUUCAUAUUGAUAAAAUUGUUUGCGACCUCGAUGUUGAAUUAAAAUAAAAUUUAAGUGGAGAUAUUUAAUUUUUUAGUCUGUUCGACUAUUAAAAUUUUAC